CAGUCGCCACGGGAAUACGUAGGUGGUAAGCGUUGUCCGGAAUUAUUGGGCGUAAAGGGCCCGCAGGCGGUUUCUUAAGUCUGAUGUGAAAGCCCCCGGCUCAACCGGGGAGGGUCAUUGGAAACUGGGAAACUUGAGUGCAGAAGAGGAGAGUGGAAUUCCACGUGUAGCGGUGAAAUGCGUAGAGAUGUGGAGGAACACCAGUGGCGAAGGCGACUCUCUGGUCUGUAACUGACGCUGAGGCGCGAAAGCCAGGGGAGCGAACGGGAUUAGAUACCCCCGUAGUCCCUGUCUCUUAUAC
rnacentral:rRNA from 1 species